rnacentral:rRNA from 1 species
GUAGUCCAUGCCGUAAACGUUGGGCACUAGGUGUGGGACCCAUUCCACGGGUUCCGUGCCGCAGCUAACGCAUUAAGUGCCCCGCCUGGGGAGUACGGCCGCAAGGCUAAAACUCAAAGGAAUUGACGGGGGCCCGCACAAGCGGCGGAGCAUGCGGAUUAAUUCGAUGCAACGCGAAGAACCUUACCAAGGCUUGACAUAUACGAGAACCCUGCAGAGAUGUGGGGCUCUUUGGACACUCGUAUACAGGUGGUGCAUGGUUGUCGUCAGCUCGUGUCGUGAGAUGUUGGGUUAAGUCCCGCAACGAGCGCAACCCUCGUCCUAUGUUGCCAGCACGUGAUGGUGGGGAC